rnacentral:rRNA from 1 species
UACGUAGGGUGCGAGCGUUGUCCGGAAUUAUUGGGCGUAAAGAGCUCGUAGGCGGUGUGUCGCGUCGGCCGUGAAAACCUGGGGCUUAACUCUGGGCGUGCGGUCGAUACGGGCGGGCUAGAGUUCGGUAGGGGAGACUGGAAUUCCUGGUGUAGCGGUGAAAUGCGCAGAUAUCAGGAGGAACACCGGUGGCGAAGGCGGGUCUCUGGGCCGAUACUGACGCUGAGGAGCGAAAGCGUGGGGAGCGAACAGG